UCAGCACAGAACCCGAUGGUGGGGCUCGAACCCACGAACGCGAGAUCAUGACCGGACCCGAGCUGAAGUCGGACGCUCAACCGAGCCACCCAGACGCCUCGACAAGGUGUUAGUCUUGAGGCUACUCUUUCCCGGACCCAUGUCGCCACACUGCGUCUUCCACAUGACCUUGGCAAAGCUCAGAUACAGGGCUGACCGCAGUCCUCCCCUGGCUAAAUCCCUCAGCAGCUCCCCAGUGCCUUUUCGAGGAAGGUCACCCUUCUUGGCUCGGUACACGAGGCCACGAAUAGACUGUCUCCUCCCGCCCCAGCCAGCCUACACUUGGCAGGUCCCUCUGGCGUCCUGCUCUGUCUGACCUCUAACACCUGCUUGCCCUUCAGGUCUCCAUUCUCUCUGGAGCCCUGGUGGGGUGCCCUGUGCAUCCCCACAGCCUGUGUGUGGACGUUCCUCUAGAAUGCAGACCGUGCAUCCUGUGAAGGUCCCCCCGGCGGUGAGCGUCACAUGGGCACGGAUCUGCCAGCCCCGGGAGGGGCACUCAGUCCUUCCAUGAUCAGGUAGGCGCCAGCUGUCAAGACGUCCUGAUACACAAGACAUGCUUGGAGCACAGAGGAUUUUCAGGGCAGUGAGGUACUCUGUAUGAUGCCAUAAUGAUGGGUACAGGUCAUCAAGCAUUUGCUCAAACCCAUAAAAUGUCCAACACCAGGAGUGGACCCGAACGUAAACUAUGGACUUUGGAUGACAAUGCUGUCAGCACAGGCCCGUCGAUGGUAACAAAUGCACCCUUUGGUGCGGGAUGUUGAUAACCAGGGAAUAUCCAUUUGGGGCAAAUAUCCAUUUGGGGCAAAGGGUAUAUGGGAGAUCUCUGUACCUUCCCCCCAGUUUUGCUGGGAAAAUUGAACUGCCCAGAAAAAAAAGUCUUAAUAAACAUAAGAAAGAAUCAGGACAAAA